CUCAGCUCUACCACAUUUCUUAUGUCUUCGUUUCUCAUCCUCUCUCGUCUUAAUAAUUGUUGCUCCUCUAAUGACUCGAAGGCAUCUCAUCUCUACUGCCAGUUUCUUGAUUUGUUUUUCUUUCUCUGCUCAAUAUAAAAUUACCGGGGUUGCAAUCUUCUUGUACACCUCCGUCUUCUAACUCGUCGCGCGACAUUAUGAUUCCACUAGUAGGCUCCCAGAAGAGCAGAAUAUUUUUUAAGAAAUGACAGGGACGGUUAAGACUUUUUUUUUCACCUCGUGACAACAAGAAACUUUUGGAAUCAAACUUGCCCUUCGAAAUCUUUGAUCCAAAUUUUUUGAGAGAAAUUUAUACUGUCGAACCCAACCAAAAGGGGGUCUAGAACUGGAUCAAAA